CCGAGCGGUCCGUCCCGAGGCGUUCCGCGUGUUCAGGAAACAGGUCGGAAUUGUCGGAAAAGGCGCGCGGUCAUGUCGUCGAGGCUCCGCCGAGCAUCAACGUUCUUUAUCAGACAGAUUGGAAAUCAACGACCGUGAAAACUGUGCUACGUGAAAAAAAAGCGGGAAUCUUGUCCAGGAGAUGACGGAGCGCCCGAGGCAGAGGAACAACAACGACGAUGUGUCUUCAAGGCUUGAUAGUCGACGUAUCGAAGAGAAAAGCCGACAAGACCUUCCGCCAUCACUUACAAAAUCAGCAACAGAC